AGGGUGUAAACGCUGCAGACUUGGUGUUGGAGGCCCUUUGGGGGCAUUCAGUGCCGGAGAGAAGUUGUUAAGUCUGCUACUUGGGGAGUACGUCCGCAAGGAUGAAACUUAAGGGAAUUGGCGGGGGAGCACCGCAACGGGAGGAGCGUGCGGUUUAAUUGGAUUCAACACCGUAAAACUCACCAGGGAAGACUGUUACAUGAAGGCCGAGAUGAAGACUCUGCUAGAUUUUCAGAGAGGAGGUGCAUGGCGUCAGUGACU
rnacentral:rRNA from 1 species